CAAACUGGAGAUGGCGACCGGCGCACGGGUGAGUAACACGUAUCCAACCUGCCGAUAACUCGGGGAUAGCCUUUCGAAAGAAAGAUUAAUACCCGAUGGUAUAAUCAGACCGCAUGGUCUUGUUAUUAAAGAAUUUCGGUUAUCGAUGGGGAUGCGUUCCAUUAGGCAGUUGGUGAGGUAACGGCUCACCAAACCUUCGAUGGAUAGGGGUUCUGAGAGGAAGGUCCCCCACAUUGGAACUGAGACACGGUCCAAACUCCUACGGGAGGCAGCAGUGAGGAAUAUUGGUCAAUGGGCGCAGGCCUGAACCAGCCAAGUAGCGUGAAGGAUGACUGCCCUAUGGGUUGUAAACUUCUUUUAUAUGGGAAUAAAGUUUUCCACGUGUGGAAUUUUGUAUGUACCAUAUGAAUAAGGAUCGGCUAACUCCGUGCCAGCAGCCGCGGUAAUACGGAGGAUCCGAGCGUUAUCCGGAUUUAUUGGGUUUAAAGGGAGCGUAGGUGGACAGUUAAGUCAGUUGUGAAAGUUUGCGGCUCAACCGUAAAAUUGCAGUUGAUACUGGCUGUCUUGAGUACAGUAGAGGUGGGCGGAAUUCGUGGUGUAGCGGUGAAAUGCUUAGAUAUCACGAAGAACUCCGAUUGCGAAGGCAGCUCACUGGACUGCAACUGACACUGAUGCUCGAAAGUGUGGGUAUCAAACAGGAUUAGAUACCCUGGUAGUCCACACAGUAAACGAUGAAUACUCGCUGUUUGCGAUAUACAGUAAGCGGCCAAGCGAAAGCAUUAAGUAUUCCACCUGGGGAGUACGCCGGCAACGGUGAAACUCAA
rnacentral:rRNA from 1 species